rnacentral:lncRNA from 1 species
GGGGGUGGUGGUGUGGCUCUGCAACUUUGGAAACUGCCAUUUCAUUCACACUCGGCAGUGCCUGGGGGGGCUGGCGGAGGGGGCCGCUCAAGGCUGCAGAAUCCUAGCUCUCUCCAGCUCCCCGACAACCCAGUUGCACCAUGUAGGUCCAGCUGCUCAAAGGAAGCCGGAGGCUCCAACCCAGCUACCGGCCAGAUGAUCUGGAGUACCCUCAGUCCCUCCUUUGUAAAAUUGCAACCUCGGGAGUGCAAAAGGUAGCGGGGGAUUUAGGAAACUUUGCAAAGGGAAAACGCCUUUCUCUCGACUGAGACCCAACGACGGGCACCCAAACCCCCUCCCCCCCCAUUAGAACAGACGCCCCUCAGCAAUCCAUCCGCUGCAAGCAGAGUCCUGCCAAUAGCUUAUUUUGAAUCUCUCUAACCCCACCCCCACUCUUACAAACCCCCCACAACGUCCUCUUCCUGGGAGAGGGGAGAGCCUGAACCCCAGUUCCCGGGAAUGGUGCAGGGUCCCCGGGAGAGCCGCGUCUCCUCGGGGCUGGAGCAGUCGUGACCCAGAUUACCACCGCGGCGGCCUCGCCCUAACCCCCCUCUCUUCUUCCUCCAGGGGCACCCUUUGGAGAACCCCAGCUUCGGGGUCGAGACGCACCCGCUCUCCGUCAGCUCAAACACGGAUAAAUGUUCUAGAGAAGGGCGAAAUUCUUUUCGAUGAAGCCAUUACACCCCUCCUGGCAAAGGCUGUAAAAAGGAUUAGGGCGGGUCUCUUCCACCCGGGGUGCCUUCGGGGCUGGAACUGGCUUUUCAGGGAAAACCCCGAGAUGGUUUUGUUUCGGAAGCAGCAACAGUCCCCCGAGGAUACUCGAGCGCCCUGUGCGCGAGCCGCGAUCCCGUCCGGGGCUUGCCUUCCCGCCGCGCUCGCCACCCGGGGGCCGCCGGGCAGUUUGCAACCCCAGCUCCUUACCUCCCGCCGGCUGCCGGGGAUCCAGAGGCGAUUCUGCGCGGGGGUCUCCGGGUGGCCUGGGGGUGGUGGUCCUCGGGUGGUUGCAGUCUGUGCGCGCUUGCGCCUGGCUAGCGCUAGCUCGGCUCCAACCCAGUUCCCAGGAGCCCCCCGCAUCCACCCAGCGCGUCCAGACAGAUGACUGUCACUGGCUGCGCUUUGAAGCUCGGGGGAUAUUAUUAACUGAAAAAUCUGACACACCCGGGGGGCGGGGAGAGAAGGGGGCUGCGGCACAGACAAGGGGGAGGGAGAAAGGCAGAGGAAAGCGGCUUUACCCCGCCCUCUUGAUUUCCAUAAAAAUCAGGGGAGGCGCCAAGGCUUUCGCGCCAAAAGCCACUCGCUUUUCUUCUUUGCAGAGAGGAGGCUGCAAAGCUGGGAAAGCCCGGGGUGUGCUCCUCCCUCGCUUUUAGACCCCCGGGCUUGCACCCGGUGCACUCUGCGAACCAGCUGCGCGCCGAGCGGUGCAAUGCAGCACCCACCCUGCGGGCCUGGCAGUUGCUUGGCAUUAAAAUAUUUCUUUCCGGAGGGCUCCGGGGGUGUGUACUGGGGGAUGGGGGGGCGGGGGUGGGGGAGCCGAGGCUCCGAUCCCAGCCCCCGCCCUGACUGCGUUUGUGUUCGGCUGAGCGCGACGCCAACGUCGAGCAAGGCCUGGCGGUGGGAUUGCUCGUGUAAUCUCGAAGGGAGGCUAGACCGAGGGUGCAAAAUGGGAGGAGGAGGACGCGCCCAUUUAGGAACGAGACCGCAGGAUGUUUCUAGUUUUGAAUUGAAAGGAGAGGGGCGCCCCCCUUGUUUGAAAAUAAAUAAAUAACU